rnacentral:rRNA from 1 species
GAUACGGGACUCUUCCGAGGCCCCGUGAUUGGAAUGAGUACACUUUAAAUCCUUUAACGAGGAACCAUUGGAGGGCAAGUCUGGUGCCAGCAGCCGCGGUAACUCCAGCUCCAAUAGCGUAUAUUAAAGUUGUUGCGGUUAAAAAGCUCGUAGUCGGAUGUCUGUCUUCGGCCGGGCGGCGCCGCUCUGAAUCAAGGGUGUUGCGUUUCACGCUCUGGGAGCCCGGGUGUCAAAGCCCGACUCUCUUCACGGUCGGACAACAUCGCCGGAGUGGUGGUCGGUGCGUCGUUGUUGUAUCUGCGGCCAGAGUUUUGGAAAGUUCUUUCGGGUUCUUUUUUUUAAUUUUGGUCGUAGUUGACUCGAUUCGCUCCACCCAGUCAAUCGUUCGGGGUGCCCUUCACCGGGUGUCUCGGGCGGCCGGCAACGUUUACUUUGAACAAAUUAGAGUGCUCAAAGCAGGUGUAUCCCAACGCCUGAAUAUCGCAGCAUGGAAUGAUGGAAUAGGACCUCGGUCCGAUUUUGCUGGUCUUUUACUUUUGGACCCGAGGUAAUGGUCAAUAGAGACGGACGGGGGCAUUCGUACUGCGGCGACAGAGGUGAAAUUCUUGGACCGCCGCAAGACGAACAACAGCGAAGGCAUUUGCCAAGAAUGUUUUCCUUGAUCAAGAACGAAAGUUAGAGGUUCGAAGGCGAUCAGAUACCGCCCUAGUUCUAACCAUAAACGAUGCCAACCAGCAAUCCGUCGGAGUUACUCCAAUGACUCGACGGGCAGCUUCCGGGAAACCAAA